rnacentral:rRNA from 1 species
AACGAACGCUGGCGGCAGGCCUCAAACAUGCAAGUCUAGGGGGUAGCAAUACCACCGGCGGACGGGUGCGUAACGCGUGGGAACAUACCUUUCGGUACGGAACAACUGCGGGAAACUGCAGCUAAUACCGUAUACGCCCUUACGGGGAAAGAUUUAUCGCCGAAGGAUUGGCCCGCGUUCGAUUAGCUAGUUGGUGGGGUAAAAGCUCACCAAGGCUACGAUCGAUAGCUGUUCUGAGAGGAAGAUCAGCCACACUGGGACUGAGACACGGCCCAGACUCCUACGGGAGGCAGCAGUUGGGAAUCUUGGACAAUGGGGGAAACCCUGAUCCAGCCAUGCCGCGUGAGUGAUGAAGGCCUUCGGGUUGUAAAACUCUUUCGACGGGGACGAUAAUGACGGUAACCGUAGAAGAAGCCCCGGCUAACUUCGUGCCAGCAGCCGCAGUAA